AACGCUGGCGGCGUGCUUAACACAUGCAAGUCGAACGGAGUGCCUAUGAUAGAGACUUCGGUCAAUGGAUUAGGUUACUUAGUGGCGGACUGGUGAGUAACGCGUGAGGAACCUGCCUUUCAGAGGGGGACAACAGUUGGAAACGGCUGCUAAUACCGCAUAAGCGCACAGUACCGCAUGGUAUAGUGUGAAAAACUCCGGUGGUAUAAGAUGGACCCGCGUUUGAUUAGCUGGUUGGUGAGGUAACGGCCCACCAAGACCGCGAUCGGUAGCCGGUCUGAGAGGAUGAACGGCCACAUUGGAACUGAGACACGGUCCAGACUCCUACGGGAGGCAGCAGUGGGGAAUCUUCCGCAAUGGGCGAAAGCCUGACGGAGCAACGCCGCGUGAGUGAAGAAGGCCUUCGGGUCGUAAAGCUCUGUUGAAGGGGACGAAUGUUAGUCUUAUCAACAACGAGACUAAAUGACGGUACCUUUCGAGGAAGCCACGGCUAACUACGUG
rnacentral:rRNA from 1 species